GGUAGCUUAUAGAUUGUAGUUGUCCUUUUUGCAUCAGUGUACUACUGCAGUUGCGCCAGUAUACAUUAUUUUCCUACAACUGGUCUUUGGGUCAGUGAACAUGAGCUAGAGACACAAGGUGAUAACACUAUUUGUGUCAUUUGUUUCUUUCAGUUUUAUUCAUGAGGCGCUGAUGAUUGAUGGAGCGAGACCUAACCAACUUGAUGUUACCAAGCUACACCCAUUGUCACAUGAAGUUAUCUCACGCCAAACGAGGAUCAACAUCGGUUAAGGACAAGCCAAAUGGAACAAUAUACAUUUGUCGCUGAAAGUAGGCUUGGGAAGUUGCCAGUUAAGGACAAAGCUUCUGGAAAGAAGCAAGCAUCUUCCAAGGGAAGCUUGACUAAAGCUGUUCAGGGCGGUUUGGGUACUGAAUCGUACGAGUUAAUGGCAAAGAUUCCUAGUUCACCCUUAGUAGGCCUAAAACUAUUUGUACAGAUAUGUGUAUGUACCUAUUCAUUUGUGAUGACGACAAUGAGAUCAGUUUUGUUUCUGUCAAAAGGAUGGCGUCGAGCUGAGCAGCCUUUGAUACACCGCAUUAGGAGCCCAGGUGUUGCCUUCCUGAUAAAUCUGGCUACAACCGACCGGCAUGAGCUCGCUUUGGCCCCUCCGAUCUUGCAGCUACUGCCUCAUCGCCAACCUACAACA